rnacentral:rRNA from 1 species
UACGUAGGGGGCAAGCGUUGUCCGGAAUUAUUGGGCGUAAAGAGCGUGUAGGCGGUCCGGUAAGUCGGCUGUGAAAGUCCAGGGCUCAACCCUGGGAUGCCGGUCGAUACUGCCGGACUAGAGUUCGGAAGAGGCGAGUGGAAUUCCCGGUGUAACGGUGAAAUGCGCAGAUAUCGGGAGGAACACCUAUGGCGAAGGCAGCUCGCUGGGACGUUACUGACGCUGAGACGCGAAAGCGUGGGGAGCGAACAGG